rnacentral:rRNA from 1 species
UACGGAGGGUGCAAGCAUUAAUCGGAUUUAUUGGGCGUAAAGGGCGCGUAGGCGGCUUUAUAAGUCGGGGGUGAAAGCCUGUGGCUCAACCACAGAAUUGCCUUCGAUACUGUAGAGCUUGAGACCGGAAGAGGUAAGUGGAACUGCGAGUGUAGAGGUGAAAUUCGUAGAUAUUCGCAAGAACACCAGUGGCGAAGGCGGCUUACUGGUCCGGUUCUGACGCUGAGGCGCGAAAGCGUGGGGAGCAAACAGG